rnacentral:rRNA from 1 species
CUACGGGCCGCAGCAGUGGGGAAUAUUGCACAAUGGGCGCAAGCCUGAUGCAGCCAUGCCGCGUGUAUGAAGAAGGCCUUCGGGUUGUAAAGUACUUUCAGCGGGGAGGAAGGGAGUAAAGUUAAUACCUUUGCUCAUUGACGUUACCCGCAGAAGAAGCACCGGCUAACUCCGUGCCAGCAGCCGCGGUAAUACGAGAGGGUGCAAGCGUUAAUCGGAAUUACUGGGCGUAAAGCGCACGCAGGCGGUUUGUUAAGUCAGAUGUGAGAUCCCCGGGCUCAACCUGGGAACUGCAUCUGAUACUGGCAAGCUUGAGUCUCGUAGAGGGGGGUAGAAUUCCAGGUGUAGCGGUGAAAUGCGUAGAGAUCUGGAGGAAUACCGGUGGCGAAGGCGGCCCCCUGGACGAAGACUGACGCUCAGGUGCGAAAGCGUGGGGAGCAAACAGGAUUAGAUACCCCCGUAGUC